AUAGCCAACUGUACCCCCAAACACGGCGAGACCCUGUUCCAGCACGGAAACUGUUAUCAGCAUCCUCAAUUUGUCACAGUUGUAGACCAGAACAUUGUAAUCAGAUACGGGGUGGUGGGGGAGGGUGGAGCAGGGUGAUCCCUCUCUGCUGUGCUAGUUUAAAUUAGAGUGGAGGUUUUACAGUACAUGACACAGAUCUGAGAGUGUUCCCUGUAGCAUUUCUAACCCAAAGUAGGCCUUUUCUCCUGACGCUGACCCAAUACACACAUUUUUUUUUAGUUUUGUCUUCUGGAGUUCAUUCUCAAAAACAUUUUGGAAGAAGCACCAGUUUUCAGGUUAACGUCUGCGCUGUGACUGUGUCAGGAACAUCAAUCAAGAAAUACAGAGCUGCAUCGGUUGAGAGCGUUUUGGGAAAUGCGGUUCUUCAUUGUGACAGGCCGAUGUCCAGGGAGCGGCAUGUUUUCUCAGGUGAAAUCUGGUUCAGUCCUCUGAUAACACUGACAGUAACAAGUCAAAUGAAAGCUGACUCGAGUGUUGAGCUUCUGUCACAACUUAAACUGGACUGAUUUUCUUUUUAGCAUCAGUAUAUAGUACUAAGUAUGUUCUACUUUGCUGACGGUGGAAUCCAGGUUCCUUUCAGGACAAUUUUUAUACCGUUUUGUCUCACACACUCUGUGCUGAGGGAUAUUUCGGUAAAGCCACAAACACUAUUUAGUGAUGAGCCUUGUACGACUGCACAAAGCAGCAGACACCAACCACUGGAGGUUACCAUCAUUUUCCUGGAUAGAAAAGGAGGCUCAUUAAUUUGAAUAUAUGAUGGGGUAAUUAAACAGAGUUUUUGUGGAAAUGAGCACAGUCUGAAAGCACACCUGCUCAGCAUGGGAAAAAAGUGGAUUCUGAUGGGUUUAUGUCAGAGGGAGACUAUCUUUAUCUGUAUCUCAAACCCUUACAAUCCACAUUUAAAGGAAUAGUUUGACAUUUUAUAGGAGUAAGGUGAGAUCAUGCACACGUGAGUGGUAUCAGUCUUUUCACCUAACUCAGCAAGAAAACAAAUAAGCGUUUUUCCCAAAAUGCCAAAGCGUAUACUUGCUAUGUUAAGGGCAAAUUGGGUUGUUGUUUUUUUCUUCUAGCUGUGGUAGCCUACUUAAGGCUUUAUUACUUCAUAACAUAUUAAUCAGAACCUCAUUACUGAGCUGGAGUUAACACAAUUGGAUCAAUUUGCAGUUGUCUGGCAGGAAGAAAACGGUCCAUCUCCAGCUGUAACAAAAAGUAAUCUGUGCCAGAG